CCUCAUUGUGUUUCAACUGCUUGAAAUUGACAUGUAAUAAAAACAAAUUACAGCAUAUUCAGGCGUAAAGUACAGCAGGGGCGAACCUAACAUAUCAUCUAGCAUGCAUAUCAGUUCUCUGGACAAGUUAUUUAUAUAAUAAUCUAGCUAAUAACAUAUUUGACAUGCAAGCUGAAAGUCCGAAUAGAAGUUCAUACGCAGAACCAUACUUGGCAUGAAUAUUUGAAGUCAAAACAGAAUUAAAGACCUAAUCGUUUAGAAAUUGUGUCAUCCAUGGGCUGAAAAUUCCAAAUCUGAGAACUCUGAACAUCUGUUACCGUGGCGUAUUGGUUUCGAAUCCUGGUGAGAACAUCGGAUAAAAUAAAACAUCAACCCCUACUAUUUGUAAGACCUUGUAAACCAAAUAUAUGCUUCAUUUGUCAGGUAA
rnacentral:sRNA from 1 species